GAUGAAGAACGCAGCGAAAUGCGAUACUUGGUGUGAAUUGCAGAAUCCCGUGAACCAUCGAGUCUUUGAACGCAAGUUACGCCCGAAGCCACUAGGCCGAGGGCACGCCUGCCUGGGCGUCACACGUCGUUGCCCCCCCCCCAUCUACUCCUUCGGGAUUGCGGGGGGCGGAUGAUGGCCUCCCGUGCGCCUAGCCGCGCGGUUGGCAUAAAUACCAAGUCCUCGGCGACGCACGCCACGACAAUCGGUGGUUGCGAAACCUCGGUUGCCCGUCGUGUGCGUUCGUCGCGCAUCGAGGGCUCGAAAAAAUGCUCGGCUCCGGCUCGGCUUUCAACGCGACCCCAGGUCAGGCGGGGUUACCCGCUGAAUUUAAGCAUAUCAAUAAGCGGAGGA
rnacentral:misc_RNA from 1 species